rnacentral:rRNA from 1 species
AACGAACGCUGGCGGCAUGCCUAACACAUGCAAGUCGAACGAGACCUUUGGGUCUAGUGGCGCACGGGUGCGUAACGCGUGGGAAUCUGCCCUUCGGUUCGGAAUAACAGGGGGAAAUUGCUGCUAAUACCGGAUGAUGUCUUCGGACCAAAGAUUUAUCGCCCAAGGAUGAGCCCGCGUAGGAUUAGCUAGUUGGUGGGGUAAUGGCCUACCAAGGCGACGAUCCUUAGCUGGUCUGAGAGGAUGAUCAGCCACACUGGGACUGAGACACGGCCCAGACUCCUACGGGAGGCAGCAGUGGGGAAUAUUGGACAAUGGGCGCAAGCCUGAUCCAGCAAUGCCGCGUGAGUGAUGAAGGCCUUAGGGUUGUAAAGCUCCUUUACCAGGGAUGAUAAUGACAGUACCUGGAGAAUAAGCUCCGGCUAACUCCGUG